rnacentral:rRNA from 1 species
AUCGAACGCUGGCGGCAGGCCUAACACAUGCAAGUCGAACGAGUGGCGGACGGGUGAGUAAUGUCUGGGAAACUGCCCGAUGGAGGGGGAUAACUACCGGAAACGGUAGCUAAUACCGCAUACCAUCGGAUGUGCCCAGCUGGGCGUGGCUAGCAGGUGGGGUAAUGGCUAACCUAGGCGACGAUCCCUAGCUAGUCUGAGAGGAUGACCAGCCACGCUGAAACUGAGGAAGGGUCCAGACGCCUAAGGAAGGCAGCAGUGGGGAGUAUUGGACAAUGGGCGCGAGCCAGAUGCAGCCAUGCCGCGUGUAUGAAGAAGGACUUCGGGUUGUAAAGUACUUUCAGCGGGGAAGCGUUACCCGCAGAAGAAGCACCGGCUAACUCCGUGCCAGCAGCCGCGGUAAUUC